rnacentral:rRNA from 1 species
UGGCGAAUGAACAGGGAAAAGCCCAACUUUAAAAUUACCUAACGGUGAAUUGUAGUUUAUAAGAGUGUAGAACUGCGCUGCCUUGCCUUAAGUCUCUUGAAAAGGAGCUACAAAGAGGGUGAAAUUCCCGUUUUGGAGCAAGUAGCAGUAUGGAACUUAACUCUAAAGAGUCAUGUUGCUUGAGAAUGCAGCAUAAAAUGGGUGGUAAAUUCCAUCUAAGGCUAAAUACUGGUAAGAGUCCGAUAGCAAACAAGUACCUUAAGGGAAAGAUGAAAGAGAACCUUGAAAAGGGUCUCAAAAGAAAGUGAAAUGGUUAUAAGGAAACCGCUUGAAACUUCUGGAAUCUAUGCACCAAUGUAUGGGGGAGCCAUCCUCUUGUCCUUGGUGUAUGGGUGGCUAUUGCUUGGGUUUAAGCUUAUAGGGGCUAGAGGGGAAGGUAAGUUGAGCUUUGGUUUAACUUCUUAAAGAUCCUUUAGUCGCUUAGAGUUUGGGCCAGGAUAGAAAGUCAUUAAGUGGCUAGCCCUUGGUUUAAAGGUUGCAAUAGACUUGUACUAGAGUGAUGUUUAAAGUGAGGCCUAGUACUGCUGAAUGCUUUAAUAGUCAAGAAGACUUAAGCGACC